GGGCUAGUAUGAAUGGUUUGACAAGAGUAAUACUGUCUCUACAAAAAUUUUCUGAAUUUAUUUUUUAGGUGAAGAAUCCUAAAUAAAAUUAAAAGACAAGAAGACCCUAUCGAGCUUCAAAUUUAUUUAUAAAAUAAAAAAAAUUAUAAAUAUUUUUGAUUAUAAAAAAUUUUGGUUGGGGCGACUAAGGAACAAAAAAAACUUCUUAAAAUAUUAAAAAAUUAUGAUUAAUGAUCCAUUAUUUAAUGAUUAAAAGAAUUAGUUACCGUAGGGAUAACAGCAUAAUCCAUUUUGAGAGUUMUUAUCRAAAAAUGGGUUUGUGACCUCGAAUGUUA
rnacentral:rRNA from 1 species